UGGAGGUGGGCCCUGAUCUCCAGGAGCUUACAAUCUAGCUGGGGAGACACAACUAAUGCACAUGUAAACCAGUACAGUUAGUGACUACCACA
rnacentral:miRNA from 1 species